UUGCAGGGUUCGGGAUCGGUGCCGCGCUCCGCGAUCCUGGGUCGAUCGAUCCGGAUCGAGGAUCGGGAACGUGAUGGGAUCGACGCGAUUCGUUUUUGGGUCGCGAUCCCGUUCGUGGCCUUCCAGUUUCCAUUAGCGAUCCUGAAAAUCUGGAAUUCUAAACGUAAAAAUAGUAAGUCCAAGCGUUAUAUUUGGGCCUAUUAAUACUCUUGAUUAUGGGCCUCUUUUUCCUUGUCUCUUUGUUUCUCAGCACCGCCUCUUCGUCUCUUGUCUCUGGAUUCAGCAAGUCUGGAUCCAAGGAUUUCAUCGGUCCAAGUCUCCAAGAUCAUCAGAUUAGAAGAUGCCGUUUGGGCGUAAACUACUGGCCCGAGAUGCUGGCGGUUCUGAAGAAGAAUAUGAAGAUACAAAAGUAGAGAGAGAUGAUGAAGUUGAUCUCUCCGAUGGGGACGAGGCUGAUGCGGAUGACGAAAUUUAUGAAGAAGAAGAAGCCGAGCAAGAUGCAGGAACAUACGCUUUUAUUCAUAGUGUAAAGAGGAACAUCUUGAAGACAAUGACAUCAGAUAAGCUCGUCUAUAUCCAUGCAAACAUACGCUCAUCGGCUGAGAGAAACUGGAGUACAUACUCCUUUAUUCAUAGCGUAAAGAGGAACAAACUGAACACAAAGACAGCACAUAAGCUCGUCUAUAUCAUUAAGACUAAGAAAUGAAUGGUACAAGAAGUACGUGAAGAAUAUUGGAGAUUAGAAUCAUUGGAUAACUACUUUACUGGAGUACUGGAGCAUGGACUGGGAGGUCAAUCAUCUGAAGCAUAUGAUCUGAACUUCUGAAGUUCUCAGCUUGCUUAGCUUUUCCAAUAUUAUGCAUUAGCCGUAUAUGUUUCUAUGUACUAUGUACUGUGGCUGUCAACUUGAUACACUUCUAGCCUAAAGUUGUGAACUUAUGUGUUGAAGUCUAAAUUUCUAAGUUAUUAUAUUACUCAUCA